rnacentral:rRNA from 1 species
UACAUGGGGUGCAAACGUUGCUCGGAAUCAUUGGGCGUAAAGCGCACGUAGGCGGCACACCAAGUCGGAUGUGAAAUCCCUCGGCUCAACCAAGGAAGUGCAUCCGAAACUGGCGAGCUUGAGUACGGGAGAGGAUCGCGGAAUUCCCGGUGUAGAGGUGAAAUUCGUAGAUAUCGGGAGGAACACCGGUGGCGAAGGCGGCAUCCUGGACCAACACUGACGCUGAGGAGCGAAAGCCAGGGGAGCAAACGGG